AAGUCGUAACAAGGUUUCCGUAGGUGAACCUGCGGAAGGAUCAUUAACAAACGAAUUGAACUCUGGUUCUCUUCUAAUCCUUGUGAAUUGUGCCUUCAACCUUUGGUGCUCACGCACCAACAUGUAACACUUGUCCAACAAUGUCUGACUGAAUCUUUGAUUUAAUCAAAUACAACUUUUAACAAUGGAUCUCUUGGCUCUU
rnacentral:misc_RNA from 1 species